UACGGGGGGGGCGAGCGUUGUUCGGAAUUACUGGGCGUAAAGGGUUCGUAGGUGGCCGGCUAAGUCAGACGUGAAAUCCCCAGGCUUAACCUGGGAACUGCGUCUGAUACUGGAUGGCUUGAAUCCGGGAGAGGGAUGUGGAAUUCCAGGUGUAGCGGUGAAAUGCGUAGAUAUCGGGAGGAACACCGGUGGCGAAGGCGGCCUUCUGGACGGAUACUGGACGCUGAGACGCGAAAGCGUGGGGAGCAAACAGG
rnacentral:rRNA from 1 species